rnacentral:rRNA from 1 species
UACAGAGGGUGCGAGCGUUAAUCGGAAUUACUGGGCGUAAAGCGCACGUAGGUGGUUAAAUAAGUUAAGUGUGAAAUACCAGGGCUUAACCUUGGAUGGUCAUUUAAUACUGUUUAGCUAGAGUAUGGUAGAGGGAAGUGGAAUUUCCGGUGUAGCGGUGAAAUGCGUAGAUAUCGGAAGGAACAUCAGUGGCGAAGGCGGCUUUCUGGACUAAUACUGACACUGAGGUGCGAAAGCGUGGGGAGCAAACAGG